CAUAAACAAGCCGCUCGCCGGCCGCCGGCUUCCGAGUUUUAAAUAAACUCUCGGGGCAGCCCGGGCGCACGCGGCUCGCUCGUGUCCCCCGCCCCCCGCCCGCGCCCGGGGGUCCACGUGUGCCGCGGCGCGGGGGGAGGGGGCGAGCGGGGCCGAGAGCCCGCGGGCGGGACCCCGGUCCGCGCCCCGCACACCCCAAGUGGCGCCAAGAUCAAGACUGAGUCCCAGAGAAAGGGCCGGCUGCCCCGAGCCACCGAAUCUGUGCAGAGACGCCGCCGACGAAGGAGAAAGCAAACUCGGGACGGGCCAGGCCUCUCGUGGAGUGAGUUGUUUUCCCCAAAGCUGCCUUCCAACACCCACCGAACGUCCGUGGAAGCAACCGCCCUUACGAUCAGCAUGAACGACAGCUUUUCGUUCCAGGUUCGGGAGAAAGGGGGUUCACGCUUCCGCACGCACAGGUGUCCCCCCACUUCCCACCUGGCCACGGGGACGGGGACUCAGCCCCACUCUGCCCAAGGCUGAGCGGCCCCCCACCUAGUUUCGGAUCCCCAACCAAAGUAGCCAGAUACACAGGCCGGUUUUCUAAAAGCUCCUCUUACCAGCAAUACCGCCCCCCCUUCCGCCCGCCCGCCGUGCCUUUCAACUGGUACACGGUGUGGAGCUAUCUGCCAAUUCAGCAGACACUCCUGUCCUGAUGGAAAUGUUUAGCUUGGCGCGUCCUCUCCGGCUGCGCGUGCUCGCGGCGCACGGAGCUCCAGCCCUGGGUGUGAUGGAGCCGCGCCGGGGCCGGGGCCUCUCCUAAUCUGGAUUAGGAAACAAGGCGGCGAAGUGAAGUGUGGGGAGAACAGAGCCGCUUUGUUCUGCCCCGGAGAGCCCGGGGGCGUUCUGUGUGGAGCAACCUCGGGGUGGGUGGGUAGGCGGCUACCAGCGUUUCCCUGCAUUCUCCACGCGGAAAAACAGGCACGGGGCCUUCGGAAACAACAGGGCUUAACGAGGUUCAGCCCAGAGGCUCAUUAGACCAGAGGGAAGUGCUGGGGCAUCGAGCUGCUCCUCAUGGGGGCCGCUGGUGCCUCCCUCCGGCCUCCUGGCGAGGACCCCUCACAUCCUCCAGCAGCCGCUGGAGCCCCCCCGCCUCUCAUCCCCACGGCCUGGGUCCGGGAAGGACUCCAUCGCACUUUCUGGUUGCCUAAUGCUAUAGCUCUUCUAGAACACCCCUGCGAUCACCGAGUUUAGAGGCCCCACCACCCUGGGGUGCUACCUCCCCAAAGGCACUUUUCAAAUGCACUUUCUGAAGCAGGAAACAGGAAGAAUCGCCAGCACCCCGCAGACGGGGUUCUUGUUGAAAAGAAAAGAAAAGAAAAGAAAAGAGCGCUGCAGGAUGGACCACGGGCGGCUCAGGUCAAGAAAAUGAAACUCUGAAAGGCCUGCAUUUUUAAAAAAACACAUGCGGGCAGACUUUGAAAAAGGUGUCCAAGAAGUUACGACCAAAACCUUACCACAUUUGUUAGAAAUUUUUCUAAUAGCAAGAGCUUGUUUCAUAAA